CGCUGUGUGACAUGCAAAGCAUUAGACACCAUCACACUUGCAAAAGCCAGUACCCAGACAUACGUCAUCCACUUGCUCAGGCACUGUGGCAUCUUCGGAAAAGGCUUUUUCGGGAGUGACACGUGUGUUUCACACGAACUACGAAAGCAGUGCUUUCACUGGAAGACAACUUGUUUAAUCUGGCAUCAUCCGAAGCAUUUGCCAAACUGAGAGAUUUAACUUUGAUCCAUGACCAAGAUAGCAAUUGUUGUCAUUUUUUUUUUUUUUCUCUUUAAGGUGGCACCCACAGCAUUUGGAAGUUCAGGUCCAGUGACUGAAUCUGAGCCGCAGCUAUAACCGACACCACUGCUGGGGCAACGCCACAUCCUUGAACUCAUUGUGUCCAGCCAGAGCUCAAACCCGCACCUCCACUGCAACACGAGCCACUGAAGUGAGGUUCCUAACCCACCGUACCACAGUGGGAACUCCUGAAAUAACAUGACUUCAUUUUAUUAGAUAUGUCUUCUGAGUCAGAAACUCCAUGCCUGGCAUUUGUCCUCUUCUUUUUACUAUCUGUUGUGGUUUCCUUAACAUUUACAUGACUCUUUGUAAAUUCACUUUUCAGGAGAACUUCAGGAUGAAAACGCCAGUCUUCGGAAAACAAAUG
rnacentral:lncRNA from 9 species